rnacentral:rRNA from 1 species
AGUGAACGCUGGCGGUAGGCCUAACACAUGCAAGUCGAACGGCAGCACAGUAAGAGCUUGCUCUUACGGGUGGCGAGUGGCGGACGGGUGAGGAAUACAUCGGAAUCUACUUUUUCGUGGGGGAUAACGUAGGGAAACUUACGCUAAUACCGCAUACGACCUACGGGUGAAAGCAGGGGAUCUUCGGACCUUGCGCGAUUGCAUGAGCCGAUGUCGGAUUAGCUAGUUGGCGGGGUAAAGGCCCACCAAGGCGACGAUCCGUAGCUGGUCUGAGAGGAUGAUCAGCCACACUGGAACUGAGACACGGUCCAGACUCCUACGGGAGGCAGCAGUGGGGAAUAUUGGACAAUGGGCGCAAGCCUGAUCCAGCCAUACCGCGUGGGUGAAGAAGGCCUUCGGGUUGUAAAGCCCUUUUGUUGGGAAAGAAAAGCAGCAGGUUAAUACCCCGCUGUUCUGACGGUACCCAAAGAAUAAGCACCGGCUAACUUCG